UACGGAGGGUGCAAGCGUUAUCCGGAUUCACUGGGUUUAAAGGGUGCGUAGGUGGCUUUGUAAGUCAGUGGUGAAAGCCCGGAGCUCAACUCCGGAACUGCCAUUGAUACUGCUUAGCUUGAAUCAGGUCGAGGCGGAUGGAAUAUUACAUGUAGCGGUGAAAUGCUUAGAGAUGUAAUAGAACACCAAUUGCGAAGGCAGUUCGCUAGGCCUGUAUUGACAUUGAGGCACGAAAGCGUGGGGAUCAAACAGG
rnacentral:rRNA from 1 species